rnacentral:rRNA from 1 species
GACGAACGCUGGCGGCGUGCUUAACACAUACAAGUCGAACGAUGAUCUCCCGCUUGCGGUGGUGUUUAGUGGCGAACGGGUGAGUAAUACAUGAGUAACCUGCCCUUGUCUCUGAGAUAAGCCUGGGAAACCGGGUCUAAUACUGGAUACUACUUCCUUCCGCCUGGUUGGGGGUGGAAAGGGUUUUACUGGUUUUGUGUGUGCUCACGGCCUAACAGCUUGUUUGUGGAGUAAUGGGUCACCCAGGCGACGAGGGGUAGCCUGCCUGAGAGGGUGACCGGCCACACUGGGACUGAGACGAGGCCGAGACAGCGAAGGGAGGGAAAAGUGGGGAAUAUUGAACAAUGGGCGGAAGCUGGAUGAAGAGAGGCCGCGUGAGGGAUGACGGCGUUAGGGUGGAAAAACACAUGCAGAAGGGAAGAAGCAAGAAGUGACGGUACCUGAAGAAGAAGCGACGGCUAACUACGUG